rnacentral:rRNA from 1 species
UACGUAGGCAGCGAGCGUUGUUCGGAGUUACUGGGCGUAAAGGGCGCGUAGGCGGCCACCGCAAGUCGACUGUGAAAUCUCCGGGCUUAACUCGGAAAGGUCAACCGAUACUGUGCGGCUAGAGUGCGGAAGGGGCAACUGGAAUUCUUGGUGUAGCGGUGAAAUGCGUAGAUAUCAAGAGGAACACCUGCGGCGAAGGCGGGUUGCUGGGCCGACACUGACGCUGAGGCGCGAAAGCUAGGGGAGCGAACGGG